UACGUAGGGUGCAAGCGUUAAUCGGAAUUAUUGGGCGUAAAGAGCUCGUAGGCGGUCUGUCGCGUCGGCUGUGAAAACCCGGAGCUCAACUCCGGGCCUGCAGUCGAUACGGGCAGACUGGAGUUCGGCAGGGGAGACUGGAAUUCCUGGUGUAGCGGUGAAAUGCGCAGAUAUCAGGAGGAACACCGGUGGCGAAGGCGGGUCUCUGGGCCGAUACUGACGCUGAGGAGCGAAAGCGUGGGGAGCGAACAGG
rnacentral:rRNA from 1 species